rnacentral:tRNA from 1 species
CGCAAUCCUGGUGGAUGGCGUGUCUGUUCCCGCCGCUAAGGCUGGCGACAAGAUUGAGGUUGUCCUGGAUGAGACUCCGUUCUACGCGGAGGCUGGUGGCCA